rnacentral:lncRNA from 1 species
CCCUCCCUUCUUCCUUAAAUCCAAGUUUUCUCUCAAGAUCCCUCUCCCACCGUCUCUCACACUUUAAGUUGCCCUCCGGGAACCAAGUUCCUCCCCUUCUCCUUCUUCAUUUGGAAUGAUUCGAGCCUACCCUAGACUCAACCCGUCUUCUCUAAAUCGGCACUCCACUUCUCCAAAAUCCUUAUCUUUCUACUAAAAACCCUUCAUU